CAGCCGCCGCGGUAAUACGUAGGUGGCAAGCGUUGUCCGGAAUUAUUGGGCGUAAAGGGCUCGCAGGCGGUUUCUUAAGUCUGAUGUGAAAGCCCCCGGCUCAGCCGGGGAGGGUCAUUGGAAACUGGGAAACUUGAGUGCAGAAGAGGAGAGUGGGAUUCCACGUGUAGCGGUGAAAUGCGUAGAGAUGUGGAGGAACACCAGUGGCGAAGGCGACUCUCUGGUCUGUAACUGACGCUGAGGAGCGAAAGCGUGGGGAGCGAACAGGAUUAGAUACCCCCGUAGUCCCUGUCUCUUAUAC
rnacentral:rRNA from 1 species